rnacentral:lncRNA from 1 species
AAAAAUUUAGAAUGUGUCUACUGGUUCAAGCACACUUCACAGUAUGAUGACUCCUCAUGGUCCUGCUGCAAGUGUCUUUGAGAAAGAGUUAGAACGAAAAACUGUGCCUGAGCGAGUAGCUGAAGGCUCUUUGGCUUUUAUGUUUGAAACAUAUCUUGGUUUGGGCUUAACAGAAUGGGGCGAAAAUACAUGCAAAAAAAGAGAUGAAAGUUAUUACAAAUGUUGGGAAGAUCUUAAAUCUCAUUUCACAGAACUUCGUGUGUAGACAUCACAAAAAAUUUUAUGAGGAAGCUUUAUAUCUUUUUUUUUUUUCUAAAAAAAAUUAUACAUAUUUCUCUUUUUUUUACAAGUUUUAUUUUAAAACUUAUUUUUUUUAAAUCAAAUUUUUACUAUGGCAUUUUGGUGAAGAAUUUUUCUAUUAUGUAUUUUUUUUAUAAUUAAAUUUCUUAAAAUAUAUUUCUGUUUUUUUUUG